rnacentral:rRNA from 1 species
UCGAGCGGGCGUAGCAAUACGUCAGCGGCAGACGGGUGAGUAACGCGUGGGAACGUACCUUUUGGUUCGGAACAACACAGGGAAACUUGUGCUAAUACCGGAUAAGCCCUUACGGGGAAAGAUUUAUCGCCGAAAGAUCGGCCCGCGUCAGAUUAGCUAGUUGGUGAGGUAAUGGCUCACCAAGGCGACGAUCAGUAGCUGGUCUGAGAGGAUGAUCAGCCACAUUGGGACUGAGACACGGCCCAAACUCCUACGGGAGGCAGCAGUGGGGAAUAUUGGACAAUGGGCGCAAGCCUGAUCCAGCCAUGCCGCGUGAGUGAUGAAGGCCCUAGGGUUGUAAAGCUCUUUUGUGCGGGAAGAUAAUGACGGUACCGCAAGAAUAAGCCCCGGCUAACUUCGUGCCAGCAGCCGCGGUAAUACGAAGGGGGCUAGCGUUGCUCGGAAUCACUGGGCGUAAAGGGUGCGUA